UACGUAGGGGGCUAGCGUUGUCCGGAUUUAUUGGGCGUAAAGAGCGUGUAGGCGGCCGAGUAAGUCCGGUGUGAAAACUCGAGGCUUAACCUCGAGAUGUCAUCGGAAACUGUUCGGCUAGAGUCCGGAAGAGGAGAGUGGAAUUCCUGGUGUAGCGGUGAAAUGCGCAGAUAUCAGGAAGAACACCUAUGGCGAAAGCAGCUCUCUGGGACGGUACUGACGCUGAGACGCGAAAGCGUGGGUAGCAAACAGG
rnacentral:rRNA from 1 species